rnacentral:rRNA from 1 species
UACGGGGGGAGCAAGCGUUGUUCGGAUUUACUGGGCGUAAAGGGCGCGUAGGCGGCCACCGCAAGUCAAUUGUGAAAUCUCCGGGCUUAACUCGGAAAGGUCAACUGAUACUGCGGGGCUAGAGUGCGGAAGGGGCAACUGGAAUUCUCGGUGUAGCGGUGAAAUGCGUAGAUAUCGAGAGGAACACCUGCGGCGAAAGCGGCUUCCUGGACCAGUACCGACGUUCAGGCACGAAAGCGUGGGGAGCAAACAGG